rnacentral:rRNA from 1 species
UUGUUGCCAGCGAUUAGGUCGGGAACUCAAAGGAGACUGCCAGUGAUAAACUGGAGGAAGGUGGGGAUGACGUCAAGUCAUCAUGGCCCUUACGACCAGGGCUACACACGUGCUACAAUGGCGCAUACAAAGAGAAGCGACCUCGCGAGAGCAAGCGGACCUCAUAAAGUGCGUCGUAGUCCGGAUUGGAGUCUGCAACUCGACUCCAUGAAGUCGGAAUCGCUAGUAAUCGUGGAUCAGAAUGCCACGGUGAAUACGUUCCCGGGCCUUGUACACACCGCCCGUCACACCAUGGGAGUGGGUUGCAAAAGAAGUAGGUAGCUUAACCUUCGGGAGGGCGCUUACCACUUUGUGAUUCAUGACUGGGGUGAAGUCGUAACAAGGUAACCGUAGGGGAACCUGCGGUUGGAUCACCUCCUUACCUGAAAGAA